AGCCGGGGAAUGUGGGGAGAGGAAGCAGGUGGCACGACAGUGCUCGGGGCCACCGAGGCUGUGCUUGGGGAAGAGAGAAGGUGGGCAAGGCGCUGCCGGCGUUCUCGCUGACUAUAAAGGACGGCUCAAACACCUCCGUGCCAGGGACACGGAGUGGGGCGGGGGGCGGACCGAACUGCAAGUUGUAUUUACCUUCCGCCCGCGCGGAGCGCCGUGCUGGAUGUCGCUCCUCUCCCCCUCGUAACAUCUGGCAUACCAGCACUGUUGCAAGCUGAAGUUUCCAGCUGCCAUUACAAUACAACCCUCUUCUCUACCCCAAAUCUGACAAAAGCGUGGUCUCUGGCUAUUGAUUGUGAAAUGGACCACACUUGGAAAGAUGGCGACUGCCCUCACCUGCCUUCUAGUGCAAAACUGCAUGACUGACAACCACAGUCAGGCUGGUUCCUGGCUUUUAGGAGCACAAGACAGGGCAGUACAUGGCCACAGGAGCAUAGCAGAAGAAAGCUGAACCUUGUCUUUAUACCUCUCUGCAAAAGAUGCAGGAUUGAGGUUCCCUCCAGUCACCUCCUGAAGUUGCAGCAUUCACCCCACCUCACUUGCUUGACAAGACACUGUGGACAAAGCCAAACAGCAGCACAUUUUCCUAUCCUAUCACUCUCUGGGAGUUUUACCUUACACUACAAGGGUCUGUCCUUUCUUUCCCCUUCACUCCUUCUUUCACAAGAUUUUUUUUCAUUUUAAUCUCUCACAGCUUCCCUUGGCUCUAGUCCUGAAAAUUACUCUUCUCCUCAUCAGAACCUGAGCCUGUAUUUAACAGCUGCUUUACAUUAAUAUGCUUGUAUUAAAAUAUUCUAUGUUGCAA